rnacentral:rRNA from 1 species
ACGCUCGACACCUACGGGAGGCGGCAGUGGGGAAUAUUGCACAAUGGGGGAAACCCUGAUGCAGCGACGCCGCGUGAGUGAAGAAGUAUUUCGGUAUGUAAAGCUCUAUCAGCAGGGAAGAAGAUGACGGUACCUGAGUAAGAAGCCCCGGCUAACUACGUGCCAGCAGCCGUGGUAAUCUGAGCGGGCUGGCAAGGC